CGGAGUGAUGUAUGCAUCGGCUGGUGACGAUCGCGGCCAAAUGAUCCAUUCGUACUGCAUAUGUUAUCUUCCAAAGACCCGAACGGAGGAGAGAGGAAAAAAUGAGAAGUGAAAGGGUUACACACGUUGGUUCAGCUGUACCCCGACACAUCAACGCAUCGAGAAAACCAAGUAGAAAGCCAAAACCAUUUCAACUCACCUCGGUUGGCAAUAUUACACAAAUACUUG